GUGAGAGUAUAUUCUACAUAUUUUAAUUCUCAGGAGAUACAAUGUCUUUUAAGUUUCUUACCAAGAAUAUUUGACUAAAAUCUUAAAAAGUCUUUAAAAAUCUGUCUUAAAGCAUUCAUAUCUAUGUUGGUCAUAAACUAAGUGGGAUGAGGGUCAUCACUAGAUUGGAUUUGGCCAUUUUAGGGUCUUUAUUGCUGGUGGGUUUUGUUUGUUUGCUUGAUGGUUUGUUUGUUUUCUGGUGGUUUUACUUCAGUCAUAGAAUCAGACUGAUUGAGGGCCAUGUUCAGACUCUGUCCCCAGCAGAGCACUUGUGAGUCUGCAGAGAAUACAGGACCAUGUUGACAUCUUCUAUAAUAAUUACUUCACUAUCUUUAAAAAUAUUAUUAACGAAAAAAUCAUGCUUUUACACAAAUGUUCAUGUGUAUUCACUACACAGGAGCAAUGCUGUGGCACAUCAAGACCUGUGCUGGUGGAUCUCAAGGAAUAAUAAAUGAAUAUCGAGUCCUUUACUUCUAAAAUUAUGUCUGGUCCAGAUCAGUAAUAGAAUCCUAAACAAAAUGAAUAAGAUCUUCAGUACAUAAACCAGAAUAUUAUCUCCUUUAUUGGUAGAAGUGAUGUGUAAGUUAUGACAUACGUUAAAUUUCCUGCCCUCCUCCCCACCCACAGCCCUAUAAUGAGAUUCCUCCAAGCUAAACUCACAUAUUGAAAUUCUCCUUACUACUCUCCAAUACUAUGGAGCAGAGCUUGCGGCCACUCUCCAGAGAUGUUUUCCUUGAACAUCUUACAAGGCAAUGCCAUAAAAAAGAAAAACAAAGGAAGGUGCUGUGGAGAACUGUGGUGGAAUAAUCAGAGGAGUAAGCCACACUGGGGCUGAAGGCAGCCGUUUCAGCGCAAUUCAUCUCCGUGAACUGGGAAGCUUCCUCCUAUACCCAGAACUUAUCAUUUUUGUCUUAAAGGACUUCUCUGCAGGAUCAGCAGUUCAGCCAAGGUCUGGCUGUCCAGAGAUGGAGCAGGGGAAGGCACGUGGAAGGAGCAGCCCAGGGACAGCAUGGUGGCCGUAACAAGGCUUGCUCUAAGCAGGAGGUUAAUUGGGGCCUGGCUGAGGAUACUGGGAGAGAAACCUGCCUCUUGGCCGGGGGGUUGCGUCAGCAGUUUGCCUGGUGCCAGCCAGUCUUUCUCACUGAAAGCACUAAAUUAACUGGAAAAUUGUGAAUUGAUUGAAAUAUUGAGAAUAGAUACAGAGGCCACCACAUCAGAGAAAUCACUCUCAAGGAACAGAUUCUGGACAAAACCCAGGAUAUAAACAUCCUUGGAAAAGUCAAAGGAAGGUCUGACAUUCAUGUUUUCAUCUAGGGGAAGGGGAGAAUACCAUCCGGUGCCCAGAUUGCAGAACAGUUUUAUUUUUUUCCUUUUGGAGGAACUUUCUCUGAAGAAUCUCUGGGAAAAGCACAGUCUGAGUAACAGAGACACCAACAUCUUCUCCUCCAAGUCCACUUCUAUACGUCUCAUUAAGACUGAAGAACUGAAAUAGAAAAUCUUUGGAAAUAGCUUGGAAAACAUUUUUCUACCAUGGAGCAGUCUGCUUUGCGCAUUUAUGUUUAAGCUAAAAAGAAGAGCGGAUGUCAUUUGAGCUGACUGAAACAAGAUAAUAACUCGGUCGUACUUCUUUCUGAACCAUUUUAGCACAUCACCAAAAGGACGAGUGUGUCACAAGAUUGGUAUAAAAACAGGAACCAUUAACAGGUCUUGGCGAGAGGAGGUUGGGAGGAUAUGAUGACAGGAGAUUUUAUAAUGAAAUGAGAUUUUUUUUUCUCCUUGUCUGUGCUAACCAAGAAACUUCUAAACAUUGCAUAGGCAUCAGAAUAUAAACACAUAAUCUCCGUGCUGUAGGUACUGCUAAAACUCUGCAAACUGCCUCUGCUUAUCUUUACUCACAUGAGAAGCUCUCACUGAAGAUACAAACCAUGGGAUUUGCUUACAGCAAAGGAGGAAGUGUUUGGGGCUAUGUAAGUCAAGUCAAGUAGGCAAAAGUGAGUUCACUGGACUGGGGCCUGUGGACUUGUACUUCUGAACAAGUCAGGUCACAUUUGCCUUUUGGCUGGUGAGGAAAGAGAAUCAGGCCCUCGCUCUUCCUACUCACAUGUUGGGUUUUCACCUUUUCGUGUUCCCUCUCCAGGGCAAGCAUCUGCUAAAUUUAGAAUACCUUUUUUAGAAUUUCUUUCAUGAAUACACACACAAAAAUAAUUACAUUGUAAAAAAGCACAGAAAAAUGCAGGCUUUUGAAAUGCCAUUUGUGAAGCGUUCCAACUAUGUGCAACUGGCUCAGUUACUACAGCUCACAAUUGCCAUCUGAACAUCUAUUUUUCCAAGCAUUUAAGAAAAGUGAUGUGUACAUUUUUCAUGUGUAAUUAGGCAGCGUAAUGUGAUCUCUUGCUGCAGUCAAGCUGCCAUGUGCUGUAGCCUCACUGAAUAGCUUCCAGAUUUCAACCCAAUCUCUUCUGUCUAGACUCUACGUUGCUAUUUUUUUUUCUCUGAGCUUAAAGCAGACUCCAAUAUAAAAUGCCAAAAACAGAAGGUUUUGUCCCUCUUUCUCAUAAAGAUGUGGGACAGAUCUCAGAGGCCCAGACGAGAGCUGGGUCCCAGACUUUCAUAAGACACGUGUCGUCUGAAGCUGACAUUAAAGAUUGUGCAGGCAUUUCAACAGGUCAUGCACACGCAGGGAAAAAAAAUGCCAAAAAAUAUGGUUUUCAUUAAGAAACAGAGUAUUUUUAGAGAGGUGUGGUUCAGUGCAGAUGAAAAGGAAAGAAAGAAAAAUGAAAGCAGCACAAGAGAUCCCAAACUGCAACAUUAUUUAUAUUGCUGUUGAAAUGCAGUGUGUUCUCUUUAUGAAGCUGCUUUUGGGAGUGAAAUAAUAUAGAUCCUGCCAGAACCAGGUGCAUAUCAUGUAGAUUGUUUAUAAUUCAAGUUAAAGGAUAGCAGAUUUAUACCAGAAAGAACUCUCCAAGGAGACUUUGGAGUUUAAGUGUACUGUCUUAAUCUAUACAUUACCUCCUCAACAAAACAGUUGUCUUUAACGAAAAAAAAAAAACAAAAACAGUUUCCAUUAAUGUAUAAAUAGUUCCAGGCAAUUUUAUCUAGUGUGAUAUAGCUUUAGAACACUUUUUGUGUUCCCAGUUUUUUAUGUGACUUUAAGUUGUUUUAUUUCUGUGUGAAGAAAAUGAAAAAGAUCAGAGAGGAAGCGUUUCCACCGAAAGAUGUUUUUGUGCAAUCUGAGCAAGAGACUUAAGUUUUCUCAGACUCGCAUUUCUGAUGCCUUGUCCUAGGAUGGUGCUGCAGUUUGCAUGUUCUUCAAUGGUUACUUCUACCCAAAGCAGAAAAAGCUGUUGUUCUAGUGAAGAAACAAAGUUGUGAACACUUCCCAUCACUUUUUUCUUUUAAUUUUUAAUUUCACAUUCUUUUUUAAAAAAGCUUAUUUUCUCAUCCUGUAGCGAUUCACUCCCAAUUUUCUGCUUGCUCUCAAGAAAAUGACUAUUGUUCCAUUGAAAAAGUGCCCUUCCGCUUGCUUUUUGUACAGAUGGCAGAUUGGCUGGAAAAAACAGGAGCAUUUUCACUCAUUUCUGGAGGAAAGAGUGCAAUGCCUGCUAAAAAUUCCCAUGCUUCUGGAGAACCAACUGUUCUUUUCAUUAAAAAAAUAUAAUCUACCUACUUCAGAGAACUUUUCAAUACUUUUGCCCAUUUAUUCAUCAUGGUAAAAUGUGAAAUGCUUGAAAUGUUUGAAAUGAUUGUACAAAUGCUUUCUGAUCCAUGCAAAGGGAAACUAAAGCCAAAAUCUACCUGUUCUA